rnacentral:rRNA from 1 species
UAGAGUUUGAUCCUGGCUCAGGACAAACGCUGGCGGCGUGCCUAACACAUGCAAGUCGAGCGCGAAAGGGACUUCGGUCCCGAGUAAAGCGGCGAACGGGUGAGUAACACGUGGGCAACCUGCCUCAAGGACUGGGAUAACACCGGGAAACCGGUGCUAAUACCGGGCGAUGUCGUCUGGCGCAAGCCGGCCGACCAAAUGGUAGCUUCGGCCUCCGCCUUGAGAUGGGCCCGCGUCCUAUCAGCUUGUUGGUGAGGUAAUGGCUCACCAAGGCUACGACGGGUAGCUGGUCUGAGAGGAUGAUCAGCCACACUGGGACUGAGAUACGGCCCAGACUCCUACGGGAGGCAGCAGUGGGGAAUUUUGCGCAAUGGGCGAAAGCCUGACGCAGCAACGCCGCGUGAGCGAAGAAGGCCUUCGGGUUGUAAAGCUCUGUCAGGGGGAAAGAAGGCACCUGGGUUAAUAGCCCAAGGGCUGACGGUACCCCCAAAGGAAGCCACGGCUAACUACGUGCCAGCAGCCCCGGUCA